CACGCUGUAAACGUUGGGAACUAGGUGUGGGGCCUGUCAUGGGUUCUGCGCCGGCGCUAACGCAUUAAGUUCCCCGCCUGGGGAGUACGGCCGCAAGGCUAAAACUCAAAGGAAUUGACGGGGGCCCGCACAAGCGGCGGAGCAUGCGGAUUAAUUCGAGGCAACGCGAAGAACCUUACCAAGGCUUGACAUACACCGGAAGCCGCCAGAGAUGGUGGUCUCUUUGAUACUGGUGUACAGGUGG
rnacentral:rRNA from 1 species